rnacentral:lncRNA from 1 species
UGUCUCUCCUGCAGAUCGAAUCCAGCGCUGCCGCCAUCGCCGGGAAGCUCGCCUCCGCACCCGGGGCAGACGAGAUGCGGGGUAUGGGUUUAUUAGCCCCAGUAAAAUGACUUGCUCCCUUAGAAUUCUUCGCAUAAAGUCACGAACUGUAGUUCAAUAUAUUUUUUAUUUCUCUGAUACACCUCUCAUUAGAUAAAUGGAUCUGGAUCUGAAAAAUAUAUACUAAUGGUCAACAAAAGUAGAGUAGUCCCUUUGGAAAGGGCAAAAGGGAAUAAAAGCACGGCUAAAAUAUAUACCAUUCAUGCCCUGUCUCAACAAUUUCUGCAUCUCAUCAUAAUUAAAACAUGAUUCGCAUCUAAUCAGAACUAAAAACCAGUUAACAGCUCGAUCAAUGCCAGCAUUUAAAAUCUAAACACCCUACAAUCCUGUAAUGCAAUAACAAAGAAAAACUGAAUAGUGGUUGUCCCCCUUGAUUCUUCAACAUGUCCUCUCUUCUGCCUCCC